AGAGUUUGAUCAUGGCUCAGAACGAACGCUGGCGGCAUGCCUAACACAUGCAAGUCGAACGAGACCUUCGGGUCUAGUGGCGCACGGGUGCGUAACGCGUGGGAACCUGCCUUUAGGUUCGGAAUAACUCAGAGAAAUUUGAGCUAAUACCGGAUAAUGUCUUCGGACCAAAGAUUUAUCGCCUUUAGAUGGGCCCGCGUUGGAUUAGCUAGUUGGUGGGGUAAAGGCCUACCAAGGCGACGAUCCAUAGCUGGUCUGAGAGGAUGAUCAGCCACACUGGGACUGAGACACGGCCCAGACUUCUACGGGAGGCAGCAGUGGGGAAUAUUGGACAAUGGGCGAAAGCCUGAUCCAGCAAUGCCGCGUGAGUGAUGAAGGCCUUAGGGUUGUAAAGCUCUUUUACCCGAGAUGAUAAUGACAGUAUCGGGAGAAUAAGCUCCGGCUAACUCCGUGCCAGCAGCCGCGGUAAUACGGAGGGAGCUAGCGUUGUUCGGAAUUACUGGGCGUAAAGCGCACGUAGGCGGCUUUUUAAGUCAGGGGUGAAAUCCCGGGGCUCAACCCCGGAACUGCCCUUGAAACUGGGAAGCUAGAAUCUUGGAGAGGCGAGUGGAAUUCCGAGUGUAGAGGUGAAAUUCGUAGAUAUUCGGAAGAACACCAGUGGCGAAGGCGACUCGCUGGACAAGUAUUGACGCUGAGGUGCGAAAGCGUGGGGAGCAAACAGGAUUAGAUACCCCGGUAGUCC
rnacentral:rRNA from 1 species